rnacentral:rRNA from 1 species
UACGUAGGGUGCGAGCGUUAAUCGGAAUUACUGGGCGUAAAGCGUGCGCAGGCGGUUUUGCAAGACAGAUGUGAAAUCCCCGGGCUUAACCUGGGAAUUGCAUUUGUGACUGCACGGCUAGAGUGUGUCAGAGGGGGGUAGAAUUCCACGUGUAGCAGUGAAAUGCGUAGAUAUGUGGAGGAAUACCGAUGGCGAAGGCAGCCCCCUGGGAUAACACUGACGCUCAUGCACGAAAGCGUGGGGAGCAAACAGG